rnacentral:lncRNA from 1 species
AUAUAUUCAAAACAAAGUGUUUACGUAUACUAAACCAUCCUUGUUUUUCUUUUCUUUUGUUUUUAGUUGAGACAGAGUCUGUCACCUUGGUUGGAGUUCAUUGGUGCAAUGAUCGCUCACUGCAACCUCAAAUUCCUGGACUCAAGUGAUCCUCCCAUCUCAGCCUCCUGCAUAGGUGGGACUACAUGUACCCACCACCACACCCAGCUAAUUAAAAAAAAAAUUUUUUUUUGUAGAUGCAGAGUCUCACCC